rnacentral:misc_RNA from 1 species
AAAAAUGCAAGUUCGGAGCCAGCACAAAAUCUGAAAACAUAAAUAUGAUUUGAGGCUUUUAUUCAGAAAAAAUGUUUGGUACACCAUAACUGAAAGUAAUGUAAUUUAAUGAAUUUUUAGCUCCUUUUUCUAUUGAAAUCUUGUUCGAUUACAAUUCAUUACAUUCAAUUACAUAACAGCAACUGUGAACUUGAUUAGAACAUGGUUCUUUAUAUUGAUCAUUGCAAUGACAAAGAAGAUGAAAACCCA